rnacentral:rRNA from 1 species
AGAGUUUGAUCCUGGCUCAGAUUGAACGCUGGCGGCAGGCCUAACACAUGCAAGUCGAACGGUAACAGGAAGAAGCUUGCUUCUUUGCUGACGAGUGGCGGACGGGUGAGUAAUGUCUGGGAAACUGCCUGAUGGAGGGGGAUAACUACUGGAAACGGUAGCUAAUACCGCAUAACGUCGCAAGACCAAAGAGGGGGACCUUCGGGCCUCUUGCCAUCGGAUGUGCCCAGAUGGGAUUAGCUUGUUGGUGGGGUAACGGCUCACCAAGGCGACGAUCCCUAGCUGGUCUGAGAGGAUGACCAGCCACACUGGAACUGAGACACGGUCCAGACUCCUACGGGAGGCAGCAGUGGGGAAUAUUGCACAAUGGGCGCAAGCCUGAUGCAGCCAUGCCGCGUGUAUGAAGAAGGCCUUCGGGUUGUAAAGUACUUUCAGCGGGGAGGAAGGGAGUAAAGUUAAUACCUUUGCUCAUUGACGUUACCCGCAGAAGAAGCACCGGCUAACUCCGUGCCAGCAGCCGCGGUAAUACGGAGGGUGCAAGCGUUAAUCGGAAUUACUGGGCGUAAAGCGCACGCAGGCGGUUUGUUAAGUCAGAUGUGAAAUCCCCGGGCUCAACCCGGGAACUGCAUCUGAUACUGGCAAGCUUGAGUCUCGUAGAGGGGGGUAGAAUUCCAGGUGUAGCGGUGAAAUGCGUAGAGAUCUGGAGGAAUACCGGUGGCGAAGGCGGCCCCCUGGACGAAGACUGACGCUCAGGUGCGAAAGCGUGGGGAGCAAACAGGAUUAGAUACCCUGGUAGUCCACGCCGUAAACGAUGUCGACUUGGAGGUUGUGCCCUUGAGGCGUGGCUUCCGGAGCUAACGCGUUAAGUCGACCGCCUGGGGAGUACGGCCGCAAGGUUAAAACUCAAAUGAAUUGACGGGGGCCCGCACAAGCGGUGGAGCAUGUGGUUUAAUUCGAUGCAACGCGAAGAACCUUACCUGGUCUUGACAUCCACAGAACUUUCCAGAGAUGGAUUGGUGCCUUCGGGAACCGUGAGACAGGUGCUGCAUGGCUGUCGUCAGCUCGUGUUGUGAAAUGUUGGGUUAAGUCCCGCAACGAGCGCAACCCUUAUCCUUUGUUGCCAGCGGUCCGGCCGGGAACUCAAAGGAGACUGCCAGUGAUAAACUGGAGGAAGGUGGGGAUGACGUCAAGUCAUCAUGGCCCUUACGACCAGGGCUACACACGUGCUACAAUGGCGCAUACAAAGAGAAGCGACCUCGCGAGAGCAAGCGGACCUCAUAAAGUGCGUCGUAGUCCGGAUUGGAGUCUGCAACUCGACUCCAUGAAGUCGGAAUCGCUAGUAAUCGUGGAUCAGAAUGCCACGGUGAAUACGUUCCCGGGCCUUGUACACACCGCCCGUCACACCAUGGGAGUGGGUUGCAAAAGAAGUAGGUAGCUUAACCUUCGGGAGGGCGCUUACCACUUUGUGAUUCAUGACUGGGGUGAAGUCGUAACAAGGUAACCGUAA